rnacentral:rRNA from 1 species
GACGAACGCUGGCGGCGUGCUUAACACAUGCAAGUCGAACGGAAAGGCCCUGCUUUUGUGGGGUGCUCGAGUGGCGAACGGGUGAGUAACACGUGAGUAACCUGCCCUUGACUUUGGGAUAACUUCAGGAAACUGGGGCUAAUACCGGCUAGGAGCUCCUGCUGCAUGGUGGGGGUUGGAAAGUUUCGGCGGUUGGGGAUGGACUCGCGGCUUAUCAGCUUGUUGGUGGGGUAGUGGCUUACCAAGGCUUUGACGGGUAGCCGGCCUGAGAGGGUGACCGGCCACAUUGGGACUGAGAUACGGCCCAGACUCGUACGGGAGGCAGCAGUGGGGAAGAUUGCACAAUGGGCGGAAGCCUGAUGCAGCAACGCCGCGUGCGGGAUGACGGCCUGCGGGUUGUAAACCACUUUCGCCUGUGACGGGGCGUGAGUGACGGUAAUGGGUAAAGAAGCACCGGCUAACUACGUG